GGUUGCGAUUAUACCAACACUAAUGCAUCGGAUCCCAUCAGAACUCCGCAAUUAAGUGUGCUUGGGUGAGAGUAGAAUUAAGAUGGGCUUUGUCACAGGACUUCCACAGACACAGGUA
rnacentral:rRNA from 1 species